GUGUUGUAUGAAAGGAGAGAAGGUUAGCACUCCCCUUAACAAGGAUAGAAAAGACCCUUGGGACUAAAACCACACAUAUGGUUAAGGCGUUGCCACCUUCUUCAUGGGAUCUAACCACUGUUUUUA